GGACAGCCCUCUGGAGAGAGAUUGCUUUGGAAUGACACGAUCACUCCCGCUGAGCGAGACGCCCGACAGCCAUCGGGAAUAUCGUGUCGGUCCAAAGCUCUUUCGGCGCCACCCGGAGCAGAGC
rnacentral:pre_miRNA from 14 species